GAGGGGAUGGAGGUGGUUGGCAAAUUAAAAUUAUAUUUAUGAAUAGGAUAUGGAUCCAUGUACGACGACCCUCGCAUGAUAGAAUUGUUUCCACGGUUGCAAAGCUGUGAGCAAAUUAGAGAUGGUAGUACCUCACAUGAGUGCUAUAUACAUGAGCUGUUGUUUGUUACAACCCAUGGCCACCGAUGAGUCGUCGGGACGUGAGCAAAUCACAGGAGAACGCAGAGUCAAUGGUGGAAGGCCGGGAAAGGAACCCUGACGCCCAGUUCACAUUUUGCUUCGACAAAGAGUUCAUGUCCAAGAUGAUACAGGGUGCUGGCCUAUAUGCACAAAUAACGAUGUUGACCUCUGGGGCCCACUAAGAUGACACAAGCCAGUAAACAAACGACAUGUUACAAUUUAAACACCUACGUCGAAUGUGUCUUCCGACCUUCUAGUUCUCAGGCCUGGCCGUUUGUUACACCUCCCUCGACCG
rnacentral:lncRNA from 1 species